AGAGUUUGAUCAUGGCUCAGAUUGAACGCUGGCGGCAGGCCUAACACAUGCAAGUCGAGCGGUAGCACAGAGAGCUUGCUCUCGGGUGACGAGCGGCGGACGGGUGAGUAAUGUCUGGGAAACUGCCUGAUGGAGGGGGAUAACUACUGGAAACGGUAGCUAAUACCGCAUAAUGUCGCAAGACCAAAGUGGGGGACCUUCGGGCCUCAUGCCAUCAGAUGUGCCCAGAUGGGAUUAGCUAGUAGGUGGGGUAACGGCUCACCUAGGCGACGAUCCCUAGCUGGUCUGAGAGGAUGACCAGCCACACUGGAACUGAGACACGGUCCAGACUCCUACGGGAGGCAGCAGUGGGGAAUAUUGCACAAUGGGCGCAAGCCUGAUGCAGCCAUGCCGCGUGUGUGAAGAAGGCCUUCGGGUUGUAAAGCACUUUCAGCGGGGAGGAAGGCGNAACCUGGGAACUGCAUUCGAAACUGGCAGGCUAGAGUCUUGUAGAGGGGGGUAGAAUUCCAGGUGUAGCGGUGAAAUGCGUAGAGAUCUGGAGGAAUACCGGUGGCGAAGGCGGCCCCCUGGACAAAGACUGACGCUCAGGUGCGAAAGCGUGGGGAGCAAACAGGAUUAGAUACCCUGGUAGUCCACGCCGUAAACGAUGUCGAUUUGGAGGUUGUGCCCUUGAGGCGUGGCUUCCGGAGCUAACGCGUUAAAUCGACCGCCUGGGGAGUACGGCCGCAAGGUUAAAACUCAAAUGAAUUGACGGGGGCCCGCACAAGCGGUGGAGCAUGUGGUUUAAUUCGAUGCAACGCGAAGAACCUUACCUGGUCUUGACAUCCACAGAACUUUCCAGAGAUGGAUUGGUGCCUUCGGGAACUGUGAGACAGGUGCUGCAUGGCUGUCGUCAGCUCGUGUUGUGAAAUGUUGGGUUAAGUCCCGCAACGAGCGCAACCCUUAUCCUUUGUUGCCAGCGGUCCGGCCGGGAACUCAAAGGAGACUGCCAGUGAUAAACUGGAGGAAGGUGGGGAUGACGUCAAGUCAUCAUGGCCCUUACGACCAGGGCUACACACGUGCUACAAUGGCAUAUACAAAGAGAAGCGACCUCGCGAGAGCAAGCGGACCUCAUAAAGUAUGUCGUAGUCCGGAUUGGAGUCUGCAACUCGACUCCAUGAAGUCGGAAUCGCUAGUAAUCGUAGAUCAGAAUGCUACGGUGAAUACGUUCCCGGGCCUUGUACACACCGCCCGUCACACCAUGGGAGUGGGUUGCAAAAGAAGUAGGUAGCUUAACCUUCGGGAGGGCGCUUACCACUUUGUGAUUCAUGACUGGGGUGAAGUCGUAACAAGGUAACCGUAGGGGAACCUGCGGUUGGAUCACCU
rnacentral:rRNA from 1 species